rnacentral:rRNA from 1 species
GACGAACGCUGGCGGCGUGCUUAACACAUGCAAGUCGAACGGAAAGGCUCCAGCUUGCUGGAGUACUCGAGUGGCGAACGGGUGAGUAACACGUGGGUGAUCUGCCCUGCACUUCGGGAUAAGCCUGGGAAACUGGGUCUAAUACCGGAUAGGACCGCACUUUGGUGUGUGUGGUGGAAAGGUUUUUCUGGUGUGGGAUGAGCUCGCGGCCUAUCAGUUUGUUGGUGGGGUAAUGGCCUACCAAGACGGCGACGGGUAGCCGGCCUGAGAGGGUGGACGGUCGCAUUGGGACUGAGAGAAGGCCCAGACGCCUACGGGAGGCAGCAGUGGGGAAUAUUGCACAAUGGGGGAAGCCCUGAUGCAGCGACGCCGCGUGGGGGAUGAAGGCCUUCGGGUUGUAAACUCCUUUCGCUAGGGACGAAGCUUUUUGUGACGGUACCUGGAGAAGAAGCACCGGCUAACUACGUG